rnacentral:rRNA from 1 species
CUAAAAGGCCUAAGGCUACUAUGACAAUCCAGAAGAAGGUGGAAUUCUUGGACAUUGCGUUUAUAUAGUUUUGUUCGCUGUACGUCCAAAAUUCGCGGAGGGGGCCGGAACGCGACCCCCGCGAAUAACGGGGUUUCACUGUACUUCUAAUAGAAGUACCGUAUAUCGCGGAGAAGAGGUCGACUUAUAUGCCGCGAUAUACGGUAUUCUACUGGACGUAUUGACGCGCACGCGAAUCCGCCUCGCUCCUCAUUUCUGCGUAUGCAUCUUCAUGCGUCAAGAGAGCAGUCAACAUCUGGGAAACCGGCAGGCAACAUUCGCAAUUUGCAAUAAAUUAAGCGUUUAUGACACGCCCCCUCCCAUUUUUUACAGAUUUCUCAUACUCAUCCUUUAGUUGAAUCGCCGUAUCUUAACUAUACGCAGCGUUUUCUGCCAAUCACUGGCAUGGGGUAAACUCUGAAACGCUAAUGGUCGCAUGACUGACUGGCCUGCAACUNGCAGCAGUAGCGCAGCAUCGAAAGACAGUCACAGCGGGUGUCGCUAGGCUGAGUAAAAGAGAAAUGAGCGCAGCUGAAAGCGAACGUGCGUUGUCUGUGAAACCAUCGUGAAGUCGAAUCCAGCAUAAGUCGAGCCAUCGUAAGUCGGGGACCCCCUGUAACCCCAUGUAUAUACAUUCAUUCUGUUCUCUCGGUGUUAAGAUCCAAACCUGCUAACGGCUUAUGCACGCGCAGGGAGCCCGAUCUACUGCAGCAACGUUGUAAUUUUAAAUUGCAUGUUGUUGUCGCCAAGUAAACUGUUCAUAGCCAAAUGCUUCGUCAUCUAAUUAGUGACGCGCAUGAAUAGAUCAACAAGAUUCCUACUGUCCCUAUCUACUGUCUAGCGAAACCACAGCCAAGGGAACGGGCUUAGCAAAAUCAGCGUGGAAAGAAGACCCUGUUGAGCUUGACUCUAGUCUGACUCUGUGAAGAGACAUUGAAGUUGUAGCACAGGUCGGAGGCCGGUGGCCGCUUGCGGUGCCGCGCCGACAGUGAAAUACCACUACUUUGAUCGUUUCUUUACUUAUUCGGCCAAGCGGAAGGAACGGUCGCUCGCGUGGCCAUCUCACGGCGCGCGACGACUGUCACUUUUGGUGCAAAGCCCAACGGGACGCGUGCCCGCCGUCGGCGGCACGUCGAGCACCCGUAGCAACGCGAGGUGCCGUCCAGGGCGAUCCGCUCCGAAGUUUGACUGGGGCGGUACAUCUGUUAAACGGUAACGCAGGUGUCCCAGGGUGAGCUCAGCGAGGACAAAAGCCUCGCCUGGAGUAAACGGGCAAAAGCUCACUUGAUUUUGACUUCCCGUACGAAUAGAGACCGCGAAAGCGUGGCCUAUCGAUCCUCUUGAUUUUGCGGAUUUCACGUCAGAGGUGCAGAAAAGUUACCACAAGGAUAACUGGCUUGUGGAAGCCAAGCGCCCAUAGCGACGAUACUUUUUGAUCCUUCAAUGUCGGGUCUUCCUAUCAUUGCGAAGCAGAAUACGCCAGCCAUUGGAUUCUUCACCCACCAAUAGGGAACGUGAGCUGGAUUUAGACCGUCGUGAGACACGUUAGUUUUACCCUACUGAUCACUGAUCGUUGCUAUAGUAAUCCUGCUCAGUAGGAGAGGAACCGCAGGACCAGACAUUUGGUUCAUGCGCUUGGCUGAAAGGCCAGUGGCGCGAAGCCACUAUCUGCAAGAUAAUGACUGAACGCCUCUAAGUCAGAAUCUUGCCUAUCGACUGGCGACGAUACGUUGCGUCCCAGUUGUUGCAAGGCUGACGGUAGACUGGCGGUCGACCGGUCUCCACUUGAAGCCGUGCUGCCACUUGUUGACGGCAGCGCCGUCGGCUAGCAUGAACGACAUGCUGCGACGGCG